rnacentral:lncRNA from 1 species
AGGGAAUAAGAUUUUGAAUCUUUUCUUGGGAAUCCAUGAUGCAAUCUUUAUCAGAAGUAAGGCAGUUUCUUCUUGUCCCAUUGUCUUCAGAGGAGAACAACCCACUGGUAUUCCUUGCUGCCUCCAACCCUGUCUCAGGGAAGCCUUAGGUAACUAUGUCCAGAAGGCAGCCACUCCCUUCUCUGUCUCUUUAGGGACAUGAAAGUAGUGGGAUAUUUUGCUUGGUUUCACAUUCGAAAACACAUCUCUUCUUCUAGGAACAAGCAGUGAUUUAAAGGCUUGUUUAAUUCUAAUUAAUUUAAUGACAAAAUAAAUUAAUGU